AGAGUUUGAUCCUGGCUCAGAUUGAACGCUGGCGGAAUGCUUUACACAUGCAAGUCGAGCGGCAGCGCGGGGCAACCUGGCGGCGAGCGGCGAACGGGUGAGUAAUGCAUCGGAACAUGUCCAUGUCGUGGGGGAUAGCCCGGCGAAAGCCGGAUUAAUACCGCAUACGCCCGAGAGGGGAAAGCCGGGGACCGCAAGGCCUGGCGCGAUUGGGUUGGCCGAUGUCCGAUUAGCUAGUUGGCGGGGUAAGAGCCCACCAAGGCGAUGAUCGGUAGCUGGUCUGAGAGGAUGAUCAGCCACACUGGGACUGAGACACGGCCCAGACUCCUACGGGAGGCAGCAGUGGGGAAUUUUGGACAAUGGGGGCAACCCUGAUCCAGCCAUUCCGCGUGAGUGAAGAAGGCCUUCGGGUUGUAAAGCUCUUUUGUCCGGAACGAAACGGUUGGCGUGAAUAUCGCCGACUACUGACGGUACCGGAAGAAUAAGCACCGGCUAACUCUGUGCCAGCAGCCGCGGUAAUAC
rnacentral:rRNA from 1 species